CCUACGGGAGGCUGCAGUCGAGGAUCUUCGGCAAUGGGCGCAAGCCUGACCGAGCGACGCCGCGUGGACGAUGAAGGCCUUCGGGUUGUAAAGUCCUUUCGGGGGGGAGAAAGCGUAAGUUGAUCGACCCCCAGAAGAAGCACGGGCUAAGUUCGUGCCAGCAGCCGCGGUAAGACGAACCGUGCGAACGUUGUUCGGAAUCACUGGGCUUAAAGGGCGCGUAGGCGGUCGGAUGAGUCCGUGGUGAAAUCCUCCAGCUUAACUGGAGAAGUGCCGUGGAUACUGUCUGACUCGAGGGGUGUAGGGGUGCGUGGAACUUCCGGUGGAGCGGUGAAAUGCGUAGAUAUCGGAAGGAACGCCGGUGGCGAAAGCGACGCACUGGACACCUACUGACGCUGAGGCGCGAAAGCCAGGGGAGCAAACGGGAUUAGAUACCCCUGUAGUC
rnacentral:rRNA from 1 species